AAACACUGAACUGAACUCUGGAACCCAGUUGCAGAGAGUGAGGAAUGAUGAGCAAUGAGCAUUUCUCCUAGAUUACACUUGGAACUCUGUACAAGGCUCUUGCUGUCUUAUGCUGGGAAAUCUCUCUCUCCUGCUGAUAAGAUUAAAGAGCUGACUCUCAGGAUGCUUAGCCAGCCGGCAAGCCUGCAAUCAAGGUGACACCCUCGGGGACCUUGACUGUUGGGGUUUGGGAAGGAGUGACAGCAGCAGGGAAGGAUUCUUCUAGAGGCUCCAGAAGCAGCUUGAGUAACAGAGAGAAAAGAGGCACAGUGUGGGAGAGAGAAUGUGUUGCAGUGCCUUGUCAGCUGGAGAGAGGCAAACAGCAUGCUCGGGAAUUCCAGUGUUGGUUGCACAGGGGAACAAGGGGAAGAGCUUUGCAAUCACAGGAUGGACUGCCUUUCCAAACUCUCUCACAGAAGGACCGUCUUUCCACCCCAGGUACAUUAUUAUCUCUAUUCUUCUACUUAAGAGUGAUAUCAGAUUGACAUCAUUUGGGGCAAGUCUUUGCUUUUUAGCUGCUCUGAUGGAAAUGAAGAUAUUCUAAGGACUCCUGUGCCCCUCCCUUUGGCUGUCAGACUAUUGACACAAUGGACCCUAAGAAGUUUGAAUUUCCCCAGGAAUCUCCUACUGGGAGAGGGAAAAAGGCCAAAUCUAGUCCCCACCAGAAGGGAUCUCGUUUUAUGGGAUGAGAUUUCACACAGUUCUGACAACUUGUCAGACCACCUUGCUGGAGAGAGAAACCCAGAUGAUGAUGAUGGGUCCACUCAGUGUGGAGGAACUGUAUAGGACUGCUUAGCUACGCAUAAACUUCUUGCCUUCUAUUCACCCCAGAACCCCAAAGAUAGACUGGGGAUGGGGGUGGGGCUUACUGGGCCUCUUUGUUCCUUUCCCCAUUGAAUAAACUUACUUUCUCUGCCUUUCA